rnacentral:rRNA from 1 species
AAUCAACCGAGAUUCCCCCAGUAGCGGCGAGCGAACGGGGAGCAGCCCAGAGCCUGAAUCAGUGUGUGUGUUAGUGGAAGCGUCUGGAAAGGCGCGCGAUACAGGGUGACAGCCCCGUACACAAAAAUGCACAUGCUGUGAGCUCGAUGAGUAGGGCGGGACACGUGGUAUCCUGUCUGAAUAUGGGGGGACCAUCCUCCAAGGCUAAAUACUCCUGACUGACCGAUAGUGAACCAGUACCGUGAGGGAAAGGCGAAAAGAACCCCGGCGAGGGGAGUGAAAAAGAACCUGAAACCGUGUACGUACAAGCAGUGGGAGCACGCUUAGGCGUGUGACUGCGUACCUUUUGUAUAAUGGGUCAGCGACUUAUAUUCUGUAGCAAGGUUAACCGAAUAGGGGAGCCGAAGGGAAACCGAGUCUUAACUGGGCGUUAAGUUGCAGGGUAUAGACCCGAAACCCGGUGAUCUAGCCAUGGGCAGGUUGAAGGUUGGGUAACACUAACUGGAGGACCGAACCGACUAAUGUUGAAAAAUUAGCGGAUGACUUGUGGCUGGGGGUGAAAGGCCAAUCAAACCGGGAGAUAGCUGGUUCUCCCCGAAAGCUAUUUAGGUAGCGCCUCGUGAAUUCAUCUCCGGGGGUAGAGCACUGUUUCGGCAAGGGGGUCAUCCCGACUUACCAACCCGAUGCAAACUGCGAAUACCGGAGAAUGUUAUCACGGGAGACACACGGCGGGUGCUAACGUCCGUCGUGAAGAGGGAAACAACCCAGACCGCCAGCUAAGGUCCCAAAGUCAUGGUUAAGUGGGAAACGAUGUGGGAAGGCCCAGACAGCCAGGAUGUUGGCUUAGAAGCAGCCAUCAUUUAAAGAAAGCGUAAUAGCUCACUGGUCGAGUCGGCCUGCGCGGAAGAUGUAACGGGGCUAAACCAUGCACCGAAGCUGCGGCAGCGACACUAUGUGUUGUUGGGUAGGGGAGCGUUCUGUAAGCCUGUGAAGGUGUACUGUGAGGUAUGCUGGAGGUAUCAGAAGUGCGAAUGCUGACAUAAGUAACGAUAAAGCGGGUGAAAAGCCCGCUCGCCGGAAGACCAAGGGUUCCUGUCCAACGUUAAUCGGGGCAGGGUGAGUCGACCCCUAAGGCGAGGCCGAAAGGCGUAGUCGAUGGGAAACAGGUUAAUAUUCCUGUACUUGGUGUUACUGCGAAGGGGGGACGGAGAAGGCUAUGUUGGCCGGGCGACGGUUGUCCCGGUUUAAGCGUGUAGGCUGGUUUUCCAGGCAAAUCCGGAAAAUCAAGGCUGAGGCGUGAUGACGAGGCACUACGGUGCUGAAGCAACAAAUGCCCUGCUUCCAGGAAAAGCCUCUAAGCAUCAGGUAACAUCAAAUCGUACCCCAAACCGACACAGGUGGUCAGGUAGAGAAUACCAAGGCGCUUGAGAGAACUCGGGUGAAGGAACUAGGCAAAAUGGUGCCGUAACUUCGGGAGAAGGCACGCUGAUAUGUAGGUGAAGUCCCUCGCGGAUGGAGCUGAAAUCAGUCGAAGAUACCAGCUGGCUGCAACUGUUUAUUAAAAACACAGCACUGUGCAAACACGAAAGUGGACGUAUACGGUGUGACGCCUGCCCGGUGCCGGAAGGUUAAUUGAUGGGGUCAGCGCAAGCGAAGCUCUUGAUCGAAGCCCCGGUAAACGGCGGCCGUAACUAUAACGGUCCUAAGGUAGCGAAAUUCCUUGUCGGGUAAGUUCCGACCUGCACGAAUGGCGUAAUGAUGGCCAGGCUGUCUCCACCCGAGACUCAGUGAAAUUGAACUCGCUGUGAAGAUGCAGUGUACCCGCGGCAAGACGGAAAGACCCCGUGAACCUUUACUAUAGCUUGACACUGAACAUUGAGCCUUGAUGUGUAGGAUAGGUGGGAGGCUUUGAAGUGUGGACGCCAGUCUGCAUGGAGCCGACCUUGAAAUACCACCCUUUAAUGUUUGAUGUUCUAACGUGGACCCGUAAUCCGGGUUGCGGACAGUGUCUGGUGGGUAGUUUGACUGGGGCGGUCUCCUCCUAAAGAGUAACGGAGGAGCACGAAGGUUGGCUAAUCCUGGUCGGACAUCAGGAGGUUAGUGCAAUGGCAUAAGCCAGCUUGACUGCGAGCGUGACGGCGCGAGCAGGUGCGAAAGCAGGUCAUAGUGAUCCGGUGGUUCUGAAUGGAAGGGCCAUCGCUCAACGGAUAAAAGGUACUCCGGGGAUAACAGGCUGAUACCGCCCAAGAGUUCAUAUCGACGGCGGUGUUUGGCACCUCGAUGUCGGCUCAUCACAUCCUGGGGCUGAAGUAGGUCCCAAGGGUAUGGCUGUUCGCCAUUUAAAGUGGUACGCGAGCUGGGUUUAGAACGUCGUGAGACAGUUCGGUCCCUAUCUGCCGUGGGCGCUGGAGAACUGAGGGGGGCUGCUCCUAGUACGAGAGGACCGGAGUGGACGCAUCACUGGUGUUCGGGUUGUCAUGCCAAUGGCACUGCCCGGUAGCUAAAUGCGGAAGAGAUAAGUGCUGAAAGCAUCUAAGCACGAAACUUGCCCCGAGAUGAGUUCUCCCUGACUCCUUGAGAGUCCUGAAGGAACGUUGAAGACGACGACGUUGAUAGGCCGGGUGUGUAAGCGCAGCGAUGCGUUGAGCUAACCGGUACUAAUGAACCGUGAGGCUUAACCUUACAACGCCGAAG